AACUAACGCUGGCGGCGUGCCUAACACAUGCAAGUCGUACGAGAAAGCCGGCUUCGGCUGGUGAGUAAAGUGGCGCACGGGUGAGUAACGCGUGGAUAAUCUGCCCUUAAGUGUGGAAUAACGUACCGAAAGGUGCGCUAAUACCGCAUAAUGCCUGGCAACACAAGUUGUCCGGCCAAAGAAGGCCUCUGUUUACAAGCUUUCGCUUCAGGAUGAGUCCGCGUACCAUUAGCUUGUUGGUGGGGUAAUGGCCUACCAAGGCUGCGAUGGUUAGCUGGUCUGAGAGGAUGAUCAGCCACACUGGAACUGAGACACGGUCCAGACUCCUACGGGAGGCAGCAGUGAGGAAUAUUGCGCAAUGGGGGCAACCCUGACGCAGCAACGCCGCGUGAGUGAGGAAGGCCUUCGGGUCGUAAAGCUCUGUCAGAUGGAAGAAAUGGAUGGGGCUAAGUAUCGCCCAUCCUUGACGGUACCAUCAGAGGAAGACCG
rnacentral:rRNA from 1 species